GGUAUUUUGACUAUACAAAGGUAUUGUAAUAAGAUUUUAAUUGAAUGCUAAAAGAAUGGAUUAACAGAUAAAUACUUUCUUUAAUUUAAAAAUUAAAUUUAUUAUUUUUUGUGCAGAAACAAAAAUAAAAAUUAAGGACAAGAAGACCCUAAGAAUUUUAAUUUGAUUUAAAUAAUUUAUAUUUCUUAAUCAAAUUUAAUUGGGGCGAUUGAAAAAUAUUUUUAACUUUUUUUUAAAAAAAAUAUGAACCAUUAAUAAUGGUAAUAUGAAAAAAUACUCUAGGGAUAACAGCGUAAUAAUUUUUGAUAGUUCAUAUAGACAAAAUAGUUUGCGACCUCGAUGUUGGAUUAGGAUUCUAAUUUAAUGAAGAAGUUAAAUUAAGAAGUUUGUUCAACUUUUA
rnacentral:rRNA from 1 species